rnacentral:sRNA from 1 species
GGAUGGAUCACCUCCUUUCUAAGGAAAAAAUAAAAUUAUCAUCUUCAGUUUUGAAAGACUUAGAAAAUUCAUAAGUUUUUCUUUUUUUAAGGCAUUAAGGGCCUAUAGCUCAGCUGGUUAGAGCACACGCCUGAUAAGCGUGAGGUCGGUGGUUCAAGUCCAUUUAGGCCCACCAGUUUAUUUUAAAAGUUAUAAGCACUGUCUUAAAAAAAAGUUCUUUGAAAAGUAGAUAAACAUAGUAAAAUCAAAAAAAUUGAAGGAAUUAAGAGCGCACAGUGGAUGCCUUGGCACCAAGAGCCGAUGAAGGACGCAAUUAACGGCGAUACGCCACGGGGAGUUGUAAAUAAAUGAAGAUCCGUGGAUUUCCGAAUGGGGAAACCUACUAUAAUAACAUUAUAGUUUUUUGAUUUUCGAAUCAAAAAGGGAUACGCAGUGAACUGAAAUAUCUAAGUAACUGCAGGAAAAGAAAGUAAUAACGAUUCUGGCAGUAGCGACGAGCGAAUCCGGAGGAGCCUGAUACCACCACUAGUUACAAAAUUUUAACCAACUUGAAGUUUUUGGGAAAAAACACCAAAGAAGGUGAUAGUCCUGUAAGGGUAAGUUAAAAUCUAGGGUAUCGAAAAGUACGGCGAGACACGAGAAAUCUUGUUGGAACAUAGGGAGGACCAUCUCCUAAGGCUAAAUACUACUUGGUGACCGAUAGUGAACUAGUACCGUGAGGGAAAGGCGAA